rnacentral:lncRNA from 1 species
AAAAAGAGAGUAGUAGUAUGUCCUCAAAAGAAAGAAGCAUGCAUUUCCUUUCCUUUUGUCCCCCUGCUGGCUAAUGACAAAGAUGAUGGCUGGAGCCAGAGCAGCCAUGGUGGAUCAAGAGAUGAAAGCCACAGUUGAAGAUGGCAGAGCUAUUACACAGAGGGAGGCUGUGUCUCUAAGAUGGCACAGCUGCUGCAUACCAAUAACCCUGCCUAUCCAAACUAUUACGUGAGU